rnacentral:rRNA from 1 species
UGCGCAGGCGGUUAUAUAAGACAGAUGUGAAAUCCCCGGGCCCAACCUGGGAACUGCAUUUGUGACUGUAUAGCUAGAGUACGGCAGAGGGGGAUGGAAUUCCGCGUGUAGCAGUGAAAUGCGUAGAUAUGCGGAGGAACACCGAUGGCGAAGGCAAUCCCCUAGGCCUGUACUGACGCUCAUGCACGAAAGGCUGGGAAGCAAACA